CAUGGUUUAUCAGGUUCUCCGAGAUGAACAUACACUUUAAGGUGUACGGCAGCUCAUGGUCACUGGACGUACACAGCCUCUCUUCAUGGAUAAGAUGAAGAGUAAUGGGGAGAGUUUGAGGUGAUGCAAUUGGGAGUUAUGUUUAACAGAAAUUUAAUCUGUGAAUGCAGCAAGGUCAUGAAAUUUAUGUCAAGGACACAGGAUGUGAUAAAUGGGUCAACAAAUACCUCAUC